rnacentral:rRNA from 1 species
UGGGGAAUUUUGGACAAUGGGGGAAACCCUGAUCCAGCCAUCCCGCGUGUGCGAUGAAGGCCUUCGGGUUGUAAAGCACUUUUGGCAGGAAAGAAACGUCAUGGGUUAAUACCCCGUGAAACUGACGGUACCUGCAGAAUAAGCACCGGCUAACUACGUGCCAGCAGCCGCGGUAAUACGUAGGGUGCAAGCGUUAAUCGGAAUUACUGGGCGUAAAGCGUGCGCAGGCGGUUCGGAAAGAAAGAUGUGAAAUCCCAGAGCUCAACUUUGGAACUGCAUUUUUAACUACCGGGCUAGAGUGUGUCAGAGGGAGGUGGAAUUCCGCGUGUAGCAGUGAAAUGCGUAGAUAUGCGGAGGAACACCGAUGGCGCAGGCAGCCUCCUGGGAUAACACUGACGCUCAUGCACGAAAGCGUGGGGAGCAAACAGG